ensembl:lncRNA
GCUGUCUGCCACCUUAAUGUGCCACAGUUUUGUCACUUUCAGUGUAAACAGAAGAUGAUUCCCUGGAUUCAGAGCACCUUACUUACUGGACACUUUAAACAUGUGCGCUGUGACUCAUUCUAUCAGAUACUGGAUGCUCUCAGCAGGAAACAAGCCAGAAGAACAAGUUCCAUGCUUCGAUGAUGGUCCUGACCUUUCCACAUACAAAUUAAUGGAGCUUUCGAGUACAUCAUGCAAAAUUCCAGGCUGGAUGACUCACAAGCUGGAAUCAAGAUUGCCAGGAGAAUAUCAACAACCUCAGAUAUGCAGAUGAUACCACUCUAAUGGCAGAAAGC